AGACAACAAACCAAACUCGUAAACAUUAUAAUCAGACAAAAAACCAAACCAUUGUUUCUCCUUCUUUCUUCUCCAAUGAUAUCGUUGUCCGAAGAAGACCGCUAAAUGUCAAAAAUACAAAACCUCCAAUCUCCUUCCACUAAAUCUCUCUCUCUCUCUGUUUAAUCUUGUAAUCUCGUUUCUGUGCAAUGGAGAAACCACCGGAAAAAGUGAACAAGGGGUUUCAGAGGCCCAAAGACCAAACCGGUCUCGAAAUCGAAGAAAGGCUGAAAGACUCAGUGGUGGAGCUCCCGGUUUACAUGGUCCCGCCGUCCUCCUCGAGUACCUCGCU
rnacentral:lncRNA from 1 species